GAAAAACGGGCAGCAAGCUGGAGACCGAAAAAGAGAGAAAAAAUUAGGGAAAAAGGGAAGAAAAAAAAGAAAGAAGGAAGGAAAGAAGAAAAGGGAAGAAGAAGAAAAGAGGUAAGGCUAAUCUCUUCAAACUUGGGUUGAAUUUUUCCAUUUGUUUUAAGUGAUAAAGUAUGAAUUAUGUUAAAAUUCUAGGGUUUUAUUUUUGACUCGAAAUUUUCAGAUUUUUGAGAUGAAUACUACUUGGAGCUCAAGUUAUUGAUUCUUGAAUUUCUAUCUACAUUAAGGUAAAGAGAUGUGAAAUUUUUUUUUGGGAAACCCUAGAAUUUGAUUUUGGAAUUUUUGAUUAAUUAAUUGUGGAAAUGAUUAGAUAAAUGGAAUAUUUCACUUAGGAGUUGUUUUUAUGGAACAAAUUUAUUUUAAAUGGGUGGAAUUGUGGUUACUAGUUUCACUAGAUUGAAGAGUAAAAUUAGUUUUAAACUUGGGAAGAAGGUGUUGUUGAUAAAUUAGUUAUUAGUCAAGAGAUUAUAAAGUGUGAUUAGCUCCAAUUAAUAAAGAAAAAUUUAAGAAUUUAUUCAAGUGUCAGGAGAAUUUAAAUUAAAUUCUAUCAUUAGAUAUUAAAGUUUCUUGACUAGAUAGAGGAUAAAUUGGUUAUUAAUAUCGUAUUUUAGGUGGUGACAAGGAAAUUGGAAACAUUUAUCAGACAAUCUAACUUGUAGCUCCUACCUUGUGAGUGGAUAAAACUUAUUUGUCAGAAAUAAGUCUUCUUUAAAUUUUAAAGUUAUUUAUUUUAUAAAGUUGACUUUUAGCAUGAUUUUCAGAAUAACAGGAUUUUAUUAUCAAUUGCUUUUAAAGUUAAAUUUAGUUCAGUUAAAUUAUUUUAGUAGCAUGUUAUAUUUUUAUUACAUGUUUCAGUAUAGUUAAAGUUAUUUUUAAAAACCACCAAAAAGUACCCAGGUGAUUUUACCCCAAUUUGCAUUGAUGUGAAUGUGUUUUCACAGUGUAUGACUAGUUAUAGUGAUUUUACCCGCUCUGCACUAUCGUGAAUGUGUUUCUAUAGUGUAUGACCAUAUUAUCAGAGGUCUUUGAGACCCACUCUCGUACACACAUAGGCUUUGUGCCGUGUACUACGGUGAUUAGCCUUUGGGGUAGCUCUGCGUACGUAUGACCAGAUUAUCAGAUUAUCAGCUAUCAGAUUUGAAUGGCUUUGCCUUGUACAUCGAGAUUACUCUGUACAUGAGUAAGGCUAUUCAUUGGGUACUCUUUAUGGUGUGAUUUUUCAGUAUUUAUUCAGUUCUCAGAUUUCAGAUUAUGGAAUUCAGUUAAUUCAAUUUUCAGAAUAAAGCUUUCAGCUUAUAGUAUUGAGCAGCAGCAAUAUUUCAUAGAUUUUCGUGAAUACCAAAUUCUUUAUAUUUGUUAUACCUUACAGAUACUUAUCUAGAAUUUAGAACAAAGAAUUUUAUAAUGUAAUCAUAUUUAGUUUUUUAAAGUAUUACUAGAUUCAGAAAUUCUUAAGGAUUUAAAAAAGUUAAAAUUUUUAGAAAAUAUGCAUAAAUGGAAAAAGUUUACUUAGUUGCAAAUCAUCCACUCAUUGAGUUACGAACUCAUAUUUUUGUCAUCAGGAGACCGUUGAUUUUGAGAUACUUGGAAAAGCCUGCUGAAGCGAAAGAGACCGUUUUAUAGUAUGUAAUGAAUUGUUGGGGGACUCAUGUUUAUUAAGUACUUUGUCUAAUAUUUGGGGUGUCAUGCACUUUGUAGAAGG
rnacentral:lncRNA from 1 species